UUCGGUGGUUUUGGCGAGGGGGAAACACCCGGUCCCAUUCCGAACCCGGAAGUUAAGCCCUUCAGCGCCGAUGGUACUGCAUGGGAGACUGUGUGGGAGAGUAGGACACCGCCGGAC
rnacentral:rRNA from 1 species